rnacentral:rRNA from 1 species
UACAGAGGGGGCAAGCGUUGUUCGGAAUUAUUGGGCGUAAAGAGCUCGUAGGCGGUUUGUCGCGUCUGCUGUGAAAACUCGGGGCUUAACUCCGGGCCUGCAGUGGGUACGGGCAGACUAGAGUGCGGUAGGGGAGACUGGAAUUCCUGGUGUAGCGGUGAAAUGCGCAGAUAUCAGGAGGAACACCGGUGGCGAAGGCGGGUCUCUGGGCCGAUACUGACGCUGAGGAGCGAAAGCGUGGGGAGCGAACAGG